rnacentral:sRNA from 1 species
GAAGCUUCGACUAAGGUUCGAUUCGAGCGAAAGCGAGAAAGCGUUGCCGCAGGCAACGACCCGAAGGGCGAAGCGCGCAGCGCUGAGUCAUCCUUCCCCCACCACCA